UAAAUCCUAAAUCAAAUCUUAAUUAAAUCUGUGAUUGUCGUUUUACUUAUUCUACAAUUCCUUCUAGAAUAAACCUGUAUAGGAAAAUUCGAACAUAGGGAAAGACUAAGCGCAUGAGUUUUACUUGUUAGGGUCACACAAUUUACUGUAUUCUGAACCACUAAAACACUAAGAAAUACUAUAAUGCUUCUUUCCAGUAAUAAUACUCCUUCAUCAACUGAUAACCACAAUGUGCAACCUUGCACUCUCAAAAGACCUCUCAAAACUCAAUAAAUUCCAUCCAAUAUUAGGAAUAACAGACUUCAUUCCAACCAAUCUGAAUUCACAAAAUUCUUGUAAUCACAAACUUCUUCUGUCGAAAUACACACACACAACUCUCAAUAAACAACAAUCAUAAUCUUCCAUCCAUAAUCAAUCUUCCAAUAACUUCUCAUAUAAUUCAAUCACUCAGUAUUCCAAUUACAUAAUCAAUAACUCAUAAAUCAAUCUUUGAUUUAUUCCACAAACUCACUUCUCAGUAUUUAGAAACUAUCCAUUAUUCUUCAACAACAAAAAAAACAAAAAAAAUAAAGAGGAAGCACCAAGCUUAAUCCGGGCUCAUGACUAUCAUAGUCUGGCUCGCCAAAAAAUUUCUAU
rnacentral:lncRNA from 1 species